rnacentral:rRNA from 1 species
UACGUAGGGGGCAAGCGUUGUCCGGAAUCAUUGGGCGUAAAGCGCGCGUAGGCGGCUUGGUAAGUCCGCUGUGAAAGUCCAGGGCUCAACCCUGGAAUGCCGGUGGAAACUGUCAAGCUUGAGUCCGGAAGAGGCGAGUGGAAUUCCUGGUGUAGCGGUGAAAUGCGCAGAUAUCAGGAGGAACACCAAUGGCGAAGGCAGCUCGCUGGGACGGUACUGACGCUGAGACGCGAAAGCGUGGGGAGCAAACAGG